rnacentral:rRNA from 1 species
AGUGAACGCUGGCGGUAGGCCUAACACAUGCAAGUCGAACGGCAGCACAGUAAGAGCUUGCUCUUACGGGUGGCGAGUGGCGGACGGGUGAGGAAUACAUCGGAAUCUACUUUUUCGUGGGGGAUAACGUAGGGAAACUUACGCUAAUACCGCAUACGACCUACGGGUGAAAGCAGGGGAUCUUCGGACCUUGCGCGAUUGAAUGAGCCGAUGUCGGAUUAGCUAGUUGGCGGGGUAAAGGCCCACCAAGGCGACGAUCCGUAGCUGGUCUGAGAGGAUGAUCGGCCACACUGGAACUGAGACACGGUCCAGACUCCUACGGGAGGCAGCAGUGGGGAAUAUUGGACAAUGGGCGCAAGCCCGAUCCAGCCAUACCGCGUGGGUGAAGAAGGCCUUCGGGUUGUAAAGCCCUUUUGUUGGGAAAGAAAAGCAGCAGGUUAAUACCCCGCUGUUCUGACGGUACCCAAAGAAUAAGCACCGGCUAACUUCGUG